rnacentral:rRNA from 1 species
UACAGAGGUCUCAAGCGUUGUUCGGAUUCAUUGGGCGUAAAGGGUGCGUAGGCGGCGCGGUAAGUCGGGUGUGAAAUCUCGGAGCUUAACUCCGAAACUGCAUUCGAUACUGCCGUGCUUGAGGACUGGAGAGGAGACUGGAAUUUACGGUGUAGCGGUGAAAUUCGUAGAUAUCGGGAGGAACACCGGUGGCGAAGGCGGGUCUCUGGGCCGAAAUUGACGCUGAGGAGCGAAAGCGUGGGGAGCAAACAGG